rnacentral:rRNA from 1 species
GACGAACGCUGGCGGCGUGCUUAACACACGCAAGUCGAACGGAAAGGCCCUGCUUUUGUGGGGUGCUCGAGUGGCGAACGGGUGAGUAACACGUGAGUAACCUGCCCUUGACUUUGGGAUAACUUCAGGAAACUGGGGCUAAUACCCGAUAGGAGCUCCCGCUGCAUGGUGGGGGUUGGAAAGUAUCGGCGGUUGGGGAUGGACUCGCGGCUUAUCAGCUUGUUGGUGGGGUAGUGUCUUACCACGGCAUUGACGGGUAGCCGGGCUGAGCGGGUGACCGGCCACGUUGGGACGGAGAUACGGCACAGACUCCUACGGGAGGCAGCAGUGGAGAAUAGGGCACAAUGGGAGGAAGCCUGAUGCAGCGACGCCGCGUGCGGGAGGACGGCAAUCGGGUUGGAAACCGCUUUCGCCUGGUACGAAGCGUGAGUGACGGUAAUGGGUAAAGAAGCACCGGCUAACUACGUG